AUGAGCCUUGCAUUCACUUGUGCGUUGUUACACUGCAUAAUGGCGACAGGUGAGAAAAGAGCAAAAAAAAAACGUAAUUUCUCAGACACUGACAUACACAUACUUGUAGGGGAGGUGGAGGCCCGGAAAACAACAUUAUUUGGUGGCCACAGCAGUAGGAUCACUAAUAAAAAGAAGCAGUGCGAGUGGCAACGUGUUGCUGCUUCUGUCAACUGCAUCAGUGGGACAGAACAGACAGUUGCAGAACUAAAGGAAAAGUGGUCCGAUCUGAAGUUAUCUAAUGGUAGAGUACUUGAUGCUAUCCUGUACUCCAUCCUGCCCUGCCAUCUCCACCUGCACUCCCAAAUCCAGAACAGCAACCUCAAUCAGGGCUAA
ensembl:lncRNA